rnacentral:sRNA from 1 species
AUGAAGUAAGUGCCAAGGCACAGAAACCAAGACCCCGUAGUUGAUUAUGGAAGGAGGACAUAACCGUCCUACUGCAAUGUGGGUAAAUAUAUACCUUGACGCGGUUAGCCGUACGCUGCUUGCAUGGUCUGGGAUGGCGAUAAUAUACGCUGAAUGGAAUCCAGCUAAGUACCAGAUUACAUGACUAUUACCGCAAAGGAGAACACAACGCGCCCCUACAAAAACACUCUGCGAGGUAUUUUUUUAUUAU